rnacentral:rRNA from 1 species
UACGGGGGGGGCAAGCGUUGUUCGGAAUUACUGGGCGUAAAGGGCUCGUAGGUGGCCAACUAAGUCAGACGUGAAAUCCCUCGGCUUAACCGGGGAACUGCGUCUGAUACUGGAUGGCUUGAGUUUGGGAGAGGGAUGCGGAAUUCCAGGUGUAGCGGUGAAAUGCGUAGAUAUCUGGAGGAACACCGGUGGCGAAGGCGGCAUCCUGGACCGAAAUUGACGCUGAGGCGCGAAAGCCAGGGGAGCAAACGGG